UACGAAGGUGGCGAGCGUUGUUCGGAAUCACUGGGCAUAAAGCGCACGUAGGCGGCGACGUAAGUUGGGUGUGAAAUCCCUCGGCCCAACCGAGGAACUGCGCCCAGUACUGCGUUGCUUGAGGAUCCAAGGGGUGCAUGGAAUUCCCGGUGGAGCGGUGAAAUGCGUUGAUAUCGGGAGGAACUCCGGCGGCGAAAAGCGGUGCACUGGUGGAUUACUGAGUGAGGUGCGAAAGCCAGGGGGAGCAAACGGGG
rnacentral:rRNA from 1 species